GACGAACGCUGGCGGCGUGCUUAACACAUGCAAGUCGAACGAAAAGGCCCGGCUCUUGUGGCGUGCUCGUUUGCCGAACGGGUGAGUAACACGCGUGUAACCUCCCCUUGACUUUGGGGUAACUUCAGGAAACUCGGGCUCAUAUCGGAUAGGAUCUCCUGCUGCAUGGUGGUGGAUGGAGAGUUUCGGCGGUUGGGGAUGGACUCGCGGCUUAUCAGCUUGUUGGUGGAGUAGUGGCGUUCGAAGGCUUUGACGGGUAGCCCGCCUGAGAGGGUGACCGGCCUCCUUGGGCCUGAGAUACGGCGCAGAAUGCUACGGGAGGCAGCAGUGGGGAAUAUUGCAGAGUGGGCGGGAGCCUGAUGCAGCGAUGCCGGGUGCGGGAUGACCGGCUUCGGGUUGAAAACCAAUUUGGCCUGUGACGAAGAGUGAGUGACGGUAAUGGGUAAAGAAGCACCGGCUAACUACGUG
rnacentral:rRNA from 1 species